rnacentral:rRNA from 1 species
GACGGAGGGUGCAAGCGUUAUUCGGAUUUAUUGGGCGUAAAGAGCGUGUAGGCGGUUGGUCAAGUCAGAUGUGAAAGCCCGGGGCUCAACCUCGGAAGUGCAUUUGAAACUGGUCGACUUGAGUUCGGGAGAGGGAAGUGGAAUUCCGGGUGUAGAGGUGAAAUUCGUAGAUAUCCGGAGGAACACCGGUGGCGAAGGCUACUUCCUGGACCGAAACUGACGCUGAGACGCGAAAGCGUGGGGAGCAAACAGG